rnacentral:rRNA from 1 species
GUUGCGAAGAUCAUUGCAUAUAUGAUGGCCACACGUCUCGCUCCUCACAUGUUCAACCUUGUGUCCAAUACGCAAAGUGCUUUCAUCAAGAAAAGGAGCAUACAUGAUAACUUUAUGGAUGUCCGAAACUUGGCACGUCGAUUUCACCGCAACAAAUCACCGAUCUUGCUCUUCAAGCUAGACAUCAAGACAUCGCUUGACUCGGUUAGAUGGGACUACUUGAUGGAUUUAUUGAGACAUCAUCAUUUCCCAAGCCGCUUUCGAGACUAG